UACUGGAACAUACUUGGUGUAUUCAAGGAGCAACAGGAAGGCCACUAGGGUUGGAGAGUCAAUGUAUAAAAAUUUAAUAAUAAAAAUACAUGUGUCAUAGUGAAAUAAGCCAGACAGAGAUUUCAAAUAGGGUUUGAGAAAGGAUGAGCCUUGGAAGAUAGAUUUGUGUUUGAAUCCCAGUUCUGUACCUUACUUGCUCUGUAGCCAUAAGACUGAGAUUUGACUUCUUCAAAUAUAAAAUAGGAAUUAUAACAUUUUGUAAUAAUAUUACUUUGAGGAUUGAAAUAGAAGAAUAUGCAUUUAUGUUCUGUAGAUUCAUUAUUAUGUGUCUGACAGUGGAUUUGUCUUUAUUUGUCUUUCUCAGGACUCAAUAUUCUCUGAAGACAUUUUUUUUCAAUUAAAUUCUCAUACAUUAGUUCUUUGAAUCAUGUCUCUUGCCUCUUCUUGCCAUUUUCUCAAUUUCGGUCAGGAUGGGCUAUGUUAUGCUGUCAAACAAACAACUCCAAUAUCUCUAUGGCUUAAAAAGCAGGGUUUAUUUCUCAUACCUGCCUCAUGUCCACUGGGUUAACUGGUGGUCUGUGUUCUGUGUGUCCUUACUCUGAGACCCACUUGAUAGAACAACCACGACCUGGGAUGCUGCUGGUUGCCUUGGCAGAAGAGAAAGAAAAAUAAUGUGAUGAACUGGGUAUUAAGUCUUAAGUCAGCCUCCCAGAAGAAUCAUGUAUUACUUCCACUCACUUUGCACUGGCUAAAGUAAGUCAAAUGGCCACACCUAACUUCCAGGUGGUAGGAAAAUGCAGUUAUUGUGUGUGUCCAGGAGAAGAACAUAAAAUAUUUGGAAGUCAGCACUGACGACUACCACAUACAGAGUUCUCCUUCUGGAACCCUCCUAAAUGUACAUUGGAUUCUCUAAUUCUACUUUCCAUGUCUCUUAACUUCUCUUUCACAUUAUCCCUUUAUAUCUUUCUCAGCUGAAUUUCUUUACAUAAUUCAUGAAUUAUCUCUUCAGCCAUAUCUAGACAACUAUUCAACCCAGCCACCGAGUUUCAAUUUUUAAAAACUGCCUUUUUUAUACAAACAGCUCAUACAACUUGAUAACAAAAAAAUAAUCUAAUAAAAACAUGGGCAGAGGACCUAGACAUUUCUCCAAAGAAGACAUACAGAUGGCCAAGAGGCACAGGAAAAGAUGCUCAACAUCACUAAUUACUAGAGAAAUGCAAAUCAAAACUAUGAGGAGAUCAGAAUGGCCAUCAUCAAAAAGUCUACAAACAAUAAAUGCUGGAGAGGGUAUGGAGAAAAGGGAACCCUUCUACACUGUUGAUGAGAAUGUAAAUUGGUGCAGCCACUGUGGAAAACCGUAUAGUGGUUUCUGAAAAAACUAAUAGAGUUGUUCCAUGAUCUAGUAGUGCCACUCCUGGGCAUAUAUCUGGAAAAUAUGAAACUUUAACUUGAAAAGAUACAUGCACCCCAAUGUUUAUUGCAGCACUAUUUACAAUAGCCAAGACAUGGAAGCAACCUUAAAAUCCACCAACAGAUGAAUGGAUAAAGAAGUGGUAUAUGUAUACAAUAGAACACUACUCGGACCUAAAAAAGAAUGAAAUAAUGCCAUUUACAGCAACAUGGAUGGACCUAGAGAUUAUCAUACUAAGUAAAAUAAGUCAGACAGAGAAAGGCAAAUCCCAUAUGAUAGCACUUACAUGUGGAAUCUAAAGUAUGAUACAAAUGAAUUUAUUUAUAAAACAGAAACAGAUUCACAGAUUUUGAAAACAAACUUAUGGUUACCUAAAGGGGAACAAGGGUAGAGGGGGGAUAAAUUAGGAGUUUGGGAUUAGUAGAUACAAAAUAGUAUAUAUAAAAUAGAUAAACAACAAGGACCUACUUAUAGCACAGGGAAUUAUAUUCACUAUCCUGUAAUAAACCAUAAUGAAAAAGAAUAUAUAUAAAUUAUAUAUAUUAUAUAUAUCCAUUACACAAUAUACAAUAUUACAGGAUAUUGAAUUAUAUGCAAUAUCUUGUAAUAAACCAUAAUGAAAAAGAAUAUAUAUAUAUACAAUUAUGUAUAUACAUUAUAUAUAUAAUUGAAUCAAUUUGCUAUACACCAGAAACUAACCCAACAUUGUAAAUCAACUAUACUUCAAUAAAAAUUUUUAAACUGUUUAUUUCUAGAAUUUUUUCCAAUUCACCUGAUUUUUUAAAAUAUACUGUCCCUUUUUGCCUAAUGGAGUCUAUUCCUUCAUUUAUACUUGUAAGCAUUUUUAAGUUUCUUUCAGAUUGACCUAUUAUUUCAGUUCUAGGAGUACAAAUCCCUUAGUGAAUUAUAUCUGCUGACUUUCUAUUGCAUCAUCAUUCUGAUUUCAGACCCUUCUGCAUUUCUAGCGCCUGGAGAUCCUUCUUACUCAAUUUGAGCUUUGUAAUUUAUUUAAGGAAAAAAAUAGUUUAUUAUAUUUUAAGCAGUCUUUUCUAUGUGCAUGGGCUUGGAAAUAGGGCUCUUUUAAAUUACUUUCAUUAUCUGUAUGGACCAGAAUUUCCUAAACAUUUUAAAGUGAAUAGCCUUUAAAUGCAUGCGUCCAAUAAGAUGAUAGCUAAUAGGUUAUGAAGAGUCAAGAAAGAUCUUUUUUAAAGAGGGGAGACUGAGCAUAUACAUUUGCACAAAUAAAGAAACCAUGGACAGGAGAGAAGUUGCCACUAUGGAAAUGGAAAUGAUUUUGUAGAGACAAGACUAGAAUCAAGAAUGGAAGAUCUUAGGAUUUGGAGCACAGGUAGAGGGAUUAGCUUUGAACAAGAGUGACUUCACCUCUUCCGUAGAAACAGGAAAGCAGGAAAGAAAGAGUAUGGGUUUAAGUUGUUGGGGAGAGUCUGGAAAUUGAGGCCAGAUACCUCUAUUUUUCUCUGAGUUUGGAUGUAAGGUGAGCAACGGAGAUGGAAGCCAGGGGAGGGUUGAAGUUUGUAGUAUCAGCUGUGACGAAUAGGAGAGUGAGUCAAAUAUGCAUCCAUAAAGGCCAAGCUCAGGUUGGAAACCAUGCAUUCGUAAUGCCACCAACACAGUGGCUAGGUAGUAUAUUUAGGGCAGGGUGCCGCCCUAAACUGCCCACGUCUCGGAGUAGAGAACUAUGUGAUUGGGUUGGGAGAGGGUUAGAGUUUGCAAGGCAGUUGUAGAUAAAAGAUAAUAAGUGUACAGAGGAUGGGAAGCGAGUAGAUGAAAUGAUGAAGUAUAGAAGAUGAGCUGACCAUGACCUUAAACCCAUUCUUGAGUAGGAACACGAAGAUGGAACAAACUGGACCACGGCUCAUGGCAGCACCCCAGUGGCACAUUCAGACCUCUGGAAACGGCAGCAUCAUUCAGGAUGCCAUGCUGCUGCCGUGAGCAGGUUUUCCUCCUGUCCCUUAGGUAACCAUUGCCCUGGCAUCGAGAUGACAAAUAUGUUCUGUUUUUGCUUUUGCUAAUCUUGAUCCAUAGAUUCAUUGUCUCCAUAAAUCUCUAAAUUCCCCGAGCAUGAGGUUGGUGUGGCCAGUAUUCACCCCUAUUGGGCAAAAUCCUUGUACCAGGCCAUUUCAUAGGCCUUUGACACUUGGAUCAGGUGUCCAGCCUUGGCCCAAUCAGCUGAGGCCAGGGUUAUGAGGCCAUAUGGCAGGCAUGUGCUUGAUCCAUAAGGGACCGUUCAAAAAGGUCUAAGACUUUCUACAAUUCUUUCCAGAAGGAAUAAAACUGCAGGCAGGACUGUUCUCAUAAACACUGGAAUAGCAUUUCUCCUCCUAGACUUUGUGAUAGAUCUCUAUCCAUUUCUCUCUUCUCUCUAAUUUGGGGAGCUGGACACAGUUCAAAAAAUUCCGUAUAUAGAGCACCUAAUUUUGUAAGUUACAUAUGUUCUAUUUGCUCAGAAUUUACUCCAUCCACACCCCCAUUCACAUAUACGCAUAAAUNUAUGUAUAUAUAAAACCCCUGGCUCCCAUUUUGAGGCAGAAAUAAAUUAUUUCCUACGCAUAGUUUUCUUUCUGGCAUCCUGACGUAGGCAGUAGUAUUGUAGAAUCUUCCAAAGUGUGAUAAAAUGGUUUCCAUUUCAAGGUGGGAUUUUUUAUCACUUAAUACAAAGCACUCUGGCCGUGUCUACCCAUUUAUAUUACCUAGAGCAGGGCUCCACAAACCUUUUCUGUAAGGGAUCAGAUAGUAACUAUUUUAAGUUUUCUUUUUUUUUGGUCUUUUUGCCAUUUCUUGGGCCGUUCCCACGGCAUAUGGAAGUUCCCAGGCUAGGGGUCGAAUCAGAGCUGUAGCCGCCGGCCUACACCACAGCCACAGCAACGUGGGAUCCUUGAGCCACGUCUGCGACCUGCACCACAGCUCACGGCAACGCCGGAUCGUUAACCCACUGAGCAAGGCCAGGGGCUGAACCCGCAACCUCAUGGUUCCUAGUCGGAUUCAUUAACCACUGCGCCACGACAAGAACGCCCAUAUUUUAGGUUUUCUAUCACAACCAUUCAAUUCCCUCAUUGUAGGACUAAAGCAGUUGUAGACAAUAUGUAAAUCGAUGAGUAUGGCUGUGUUCCAGUAAAACUUUAUUUAUAAAGGCAGACAGCAGGCUGGACUAGGCCCAAGGCUGUAGUUGACCAAUUCCUGAUGUGGAGGAUAAUUAUUUAUGGUUUCCGCUGUUUCGCUGCGUAAGGGCUGAUCCUCACAAUAGCAGUGGGUUUUCUUGUAAAUGGCAUGGAGUUUCACUGUUCAAUUGACUUUCCUUAUAUAGAUAAAGUCAUACAAUAAUAAAUAAUUGAAGGUCACCACAUCACACAACUUGGGACUAUAUGCAGCAGCACUGGAAGUAUUGAGAGAGAUUUUUCUUCAGUUCCAGUGGGAGACCAGAUUAAGGCAAAGGAAUAGGUAGUGUGUUCAUUCAAUCAUCCAUUCAACAUAUUGGCUCAGACACUGUGGCUACUGCCAGAGAUGCAUAAAUAAAUCAAACAUGGUCCUUGUCCUCAAGGAACUUGUGGUUGAGUAAGGUGUUGCUAGAACUGCCAUAACAAGUACCACAAAGUGAGUGGCUUUUUAAAAAAAUGUAUUGGAGUUCCUGUUGUGGUGCAAUAGUGUCUCUGGAGCACAGAGGUACAGGUUCAAACCCAGGCCUUGCACAGUGGGUUAAGGAUCCAGCAUUGCUACAGCUGUGGCUUAGGUGGCCACUGUGGCUCAGAUCUGCUCUCUGGCCUCGGAACUCCAAACACCCCAGGGCAGCCAAAAAAGAAAAAAAAAAAAAAA
rnacentral:lncRNA from 1 species